CAUGCAGGGAAAAGAGCAGCUGGCCUGAGCACUUCCCCCCAACUGGCCCCAUCAGGGAGAGGAGGAGGGUGCAGGGAGGAGAAGGAAGACAGAGGUGAAGUAUGGCCACCAUGGCGCGGCUACUGGAGUCCUCAGAGAGAGGACCUGCCCAGACACCUGGGGACAGUGGAGGUGGGAAUCAUCCUGGAGUGUAUGGGGGCUGGGAUGGCUGCCACAGGACGGCAUGGGCCCUCGGAUGGGCAUGCGGGCCCGGAGGGGCGGGCUGUUUGCUGUACUGGAUCUGCUGUGGGGGGAGGAAAUAAUGUGCUUCUGUCCUGCAAGGACCCAGCAGAGGACUGAAAGAACAGAGAGAAGAGAAUAACAGGUGCUGCUCCUGAGAAGCCAGGGCCACGGAGGGAGGGGCCUCAGAACCUGUUCCGGGUUGCCUGACCAGUGGGUGGUACAGCGGGCCCAGCGCUGGUGCACCGUGGAGGUCAAAGGUUGCCCCGCACACGCCCCAUCUAUGGCUUCAGCCUGCAGCUUGGGAAGGGAAGGCUCUUCCCCAUCCUGCCAUCCUCCACAGCAUGGGCUCCUCCUCUGCUUAGUUGUGCAGGACACUCCAACCACAGCAUGCGGUUCUUGUCCUUAUUCCACUGAAUGCUCAAGCCUUUGCAUACUUCAUUGCUACCUACCCCAAGAGAAGACGAAUCGAUGCCUUUGCUAUUGGGCGAGUGCUUGCCUAGAUGAGUUGCUGAAGAUGAUCUUGAACUUGUGGUUCCUCCUGCCUCAGUCUCUCAAGUCACUGGAAUUACAGGCAUGCACCACUAUGCCUGGCUGUUUAUAACACUUCUUUCGUUGAACAAGUUUAUCUGAGAGAAAACAGCUCUUCAAGUUUUCAACGCGUGUCUUCAUGUUUCUGCACAAAUGCUCGUGCUUUUGAUCCUGACCAUCAGCAAAGCUGCAAAGUACCUGGAGCAUCCUUAAUUGAUAAGUCAUUUUACUUUGUUGUCAUUGCAAGUGUUUUGUCUCCUUGUUUUUGUGGAUGAAGUAGGAGGUUUUGGCUGUGUUCAGUCAACUGAUAGAAUUUAGUGUAAAAUUGAUUAAAUGCAGCUCCAAAUUACCAGA